AUUGAACGCUGGCGGCAGGCCUAACACAUGCAAGUCGAACGAGUGGCGGACGGGUGAGUAAUGUCUGGGAAACUGCCCGAUGGAGGGGGAUAACUACUGGAAACGGUAGCUAAUACCGCAUACCAUCGGAUGUGCCCAGAUGGGAUUAGCUUGUAGGUGAGGUAACGGCUCACCUAGGCGACGCUCCCUAGCUGGUCUGAGAGGAUGACCAGCUGACCGGGAACGGAGAAACGUUCCAGACUCUCAGGGGAGGAAGCAGUGGGGAAUAUUGCACAAUGGGAGCAAGUCUGAUGCAGCCAUGCCGCGUGUAUGAAGAAGGCCUUCGGGUUGUAAAGUACUUUCAGCGGGGAGGCGUUACCCGCAGAAGAAGCACCGGCUAACUCCGUGCCAGCAGCCGCGGUAAUUC
rnacentral:rRNA from 1 species